AUCCGUUGACACCAUAAAGAACACCAAAAGCGAAGGCAGCAUACUGGGGCUCUACUGACACUCAGAGACGAAAGCGUGGGGAGCGAAAGGGAUUAGAUACCCCUGUAGUCCACGCCCUAAACUAUGAUGACUAGGUGUUGGUCCUUCGGGAUCAGUGCCGUAGCUAACGCGUUAAGUCAUCCGCCUGAGUAGUACGGCCGCAAGGCUAAAACUCAAAUGAAUAGACGGGGGCCCACACAAGCAGUGGAUCAUGCGGUUUAAUUCGAUACUGAACGAGGAACCUUACCUAGACUUGAUAUCUAUGAAAUCCUGUAGAAAUAUGGGAGUGCCCGCAAGGGAAUCAUAAGACAGGUGUUGCAUGGUUGCCGUCAGCUCGUGCCUUGAGGUGUUCGGUUGAGUCCGUUAACGAGCGGAACCCAUGUCGUUAGUUAUUAUGUCUAACGAGACUGCCCGAGUUAAUCGGGAGGAAGGUGUGGAUGACGUCAAAUCAGCAUGACCCUUAUGUCUAGGGCUACACGCAUGAUACAAUGGUCGGUACAAAGAGUCGCUAACCUGCGAAGGUACGCCAAUCUCAUAAAGCCGAUCUCAGUCCGGAUUGGAGGCUGCAACUCGCCUCCAUGAAGUUGGAAUUGCUAGUAAUCGUGAAUCAGAUAUGUCACGGUGAAUAUGUUCCUGGGUCUUGUACUCACCGCCCGUCACAGCAUGGAAGAUGUACCUACUGGAAGU
rnacentral:rRNA from 1 species